UACGAAGGGGGCUAGCGUUGCUCGGAAUCACUGGGCGUAAAGGGUGCGUAGGCGGGUCUUUAAGUCAGGGGUGAAAUCCUGGAGCUCAACUCCAGAACUGCCUUUGAUACUGGCGAUCUUGAGUCCGGGAGAGGUGAGUGGAACUGCGAGUGUAGAGGUGAAAUUCGUAGAUAUUCGCAAGAACACCAGUGGCGAAGGCG
rnacentral:rRNA from 1 species